UACGGGGGGGGCAAGCGUUGUUCGGAAUUACUGGGCGUAAAGGGCUCGUAGGUGGCCAACUAAGUCGGACGUGAAAUCCCUCAGCUUAACUGGGGAACUGCGUCCGAUACUGGAUGGCUUGAGUUUGGGAGAGGGAUGCGGAAUUCCAGGUGUAGCGGUGAAAUGCGUAGAUAUCUGGAGGAACACCGGUGGCGAAGCGGCCACCUGGACGGUAACUGACGCUGAGACGCGAAAGCGUGGGGAGCAAACAGG
rnacentral:rRNA from 1 species